GUAAACGUGCUUCAUCCAAACUAUUUUAAUAAUUAAAACACUGAGAUAACGUAAAGAUAAGUGAUGCAAAUAAUUAUUUUAAGGAUAGAAUCGGUAAAAUAGUUCUUGUUAUGUUUGUGUUUUCAGUAUCUAUUUUAAGAAUUAUUAGGUUCGAGAAUUAUCUAUACUUGGUGGUUCAGGAGUAGCACAAAGUACAAGGAAAAUGCUUUAUAAGGUUCUGGGCAAUGAAAUUGCACAAAAAUAUUCUUGGGAUGGGGCCAAACAGAAGAGAAGUUUGAAAUCAUUGUUAGUGGCCAAAAGCAAUUUUAGACUCCAUGAAAGGUCAAUUUCAAGAGUCAAAAGAAACCGAAAUUAUCAAUAUAAUUAAAAUAUGGCUUGUAAAAACAAAAGAAAGAUUAAAAAUACCAAGAAGGGUAGACAAGAGAAUAUAGAAACAUAGACAUAGAAGAUAAUAUCAAUGUAUAUCGUUAUAUUAAAAUAUUUUUAAUUAAUAAACAUAUAUUACUCAAGUUCGUCUUUAUCCUUACCUAUUAUUUUUAACCGUUCUAUUUAUUAGUUAAUUUUUGAUUAUUACACACCAAAUUAUUUAAUUUCAGCAAAUUGUUUGUAGUGUGUUCCAGAUAUGAAUGUACUGUAUAGGUAUCCUAUAGAUUUUAAGAGAUAAAAAAAUUGCUAAAUAUGAAAAAAAUUGUAUCUAUAUCUAUAGUUUAUAGGAUAUUGAUACAGGGCAUCCUUAUACAGGACACCCAGUAGAUACAGAGUUGAGGGUUGGAAUCUUUGGUGUUACAACAGCAAAUUAAAACACUAAUUCACCACAAUAUACCAAAACACUUUACUUUUGAACUGG
rnacentral:lncRNA from 1 species